GUGAACGCUGGCGGUAGGCCUAACACCUGCAAGUCGAACGGCAGCACAGUAAGAGCUUGCUCUUACGGGUGGCGAGUGGCGGACGGGUGAGGAAUACAUCGGAAUCUACUUUUUCGUGGGGGAUAACGUAGGGAAACUUACGCUAAUACCGCAUACGACCUACGGGUGAAAGCAGGGGAUCUUCGGACCUUGCGCGAUUGAAUGAGCCGAUGUCGGAUUAGCUAGUUGGCGGGGUAAAGGCCCACCAAGGCGACGAUCCGUAGCUGGUCUGAGAGGAUGAUCAGCCACACUGGAACUGAGACACGGUCCAGACUCCUACGGGAGGCAGCAGUGGGGAAUAUUGGGCAAUGGGCGCAAGCCUGAUCCAGCCAUACCGCGUGGGUGAAGAAGGCCUUCGGGUUGUAAAGCCCUUUUGUUGGGAAAGAAAAGCAGCAGGUUAAUACCCCGCUGUUCUGACGGUACCCAAAGAAUAAGCACCGGCUAACUUCGUG
rnacentral:rRNA from 1 species